ACUGGACCCGGUGAAAAUCCGGGUGGCUCUUCCGGCCGCCGAUCCGCCGGACAACG
rnacentral:ncRNA from 1 species